UAGGGUAAUUGCGCUGGUUUGCCGUCCAGCUUCUGUUUUCGUCCAUUUGACUGACCUGCUACAAUCACGUGCGUAAAACUUGAAUACAAACCUACCUUCCCGCGCAAGUUUGCACUUUUUACGGUCCAUAAUGUUUAAGCAACAGUACUAUCAACAUGAAAAUUUGAUUUGACUAGAAGAGAGUUCAAAAAAUUAACGUAAAAGUGGCCGCUUCGCAUCCGUACCUUGCAGAUGUCAUCGCGCGAGAGAAAAAUUUGCCGGCGAGAAAAGUUCAUGAUGGCCUCGAAGGAGUCUAAGAAAUCUAGAAAAAAAAAAGACGCUGCGUACACUGAAGAUUCUGUAGCUAAAACUUAUUAUUAUGGCUGUGUGUGUAUAGUACGUUUCAUUUGAUAAAGAAAGUAUUAGAAUGAAAAUUUUUGUUGUUAGAAUGAAUAUUUCUGUUUUUUGAUGUUAUUUCUUAGUCCUGUAAUUAUUACUUGUUUCAUUUAAAUUGUAAGGAACGCAUUCCUUUCUUUAUUACGAAUGAUUAUACAGUCAUCACUAACGCCUAUAAGGACUGCCAAGUGCUACAUAGAUCUCAGUGUUGACUAGUUAUAUUGAUUAUUAUUAGUAAAACCACAAGUAAAACUAAACCUGUAAGGUAGUGAGAAAUUGUAAUGUUAAUUAAAUAAACGUAUAUAUUUACCUGUAA